UAGUUUCCGUGGGGGUUGGCUUAAAUAGCCACAGAAGACUGUAGCAAGGCAGAGAACAACCAUUCCACUCCAACUAAUCAAGGAUUCAAGCUCUGCAACGUGCUCUUCAACGAAAAAGGGAAGAUCUGCAUUUACAGCUCCACCUACAUCUUCCCAGCAAUUAAAGCCUUCUCCUCCAGCAUUCAAGUCGACUACACAUUCGAGAGGAGACCGGAGUUCAAGAAGCCAUUCCUCUACUUCAGCUUAAAAGCGUUUGAGGGCUUCUAAACUCCUCUUUUGAUUAUAUUGUUUUACAUCUGCUUUUGAGAAGCUUAAUUUCCUUUCUAUCUAUAACUUGUAUUUACUUGGUUCAAUCGGGGGAUUGAAUCAAGGGGACUAAGGUUGGUUGGUGAGCCAAGUUAAAAACCAACGCGUGUAAGGGUUUGAUUGUGAGCCCGGGAAAACAAUCGGGGUUGGUUCUAGUCGGUGAGCCUGGGAAAACCGACCGAGUUCGUUGUGAGCUCGUAAAACAACAAGUUUGGUUGUGAGCUUGCAAAACAACCGGCUGUAAUCCAAGGGGGUUAUAGUGAAUUCCCAAGAGAGACUUGGGAAGUGGACGUAGGAGCAAGGGGUAGCUCCGAACCACUAUAAAACUCUGUGUUUGGAUUGGAUUGUCUCUCUUCUUCUUCCUCUCACAUCACUCACAGCACUUAGCAUUAAU
rnacentral:lncRNA from 1 species